rnacentral:tRNA from 1 species
CGGGAAGUGGCGCAGCCUGGUAGCGCACCUGCCUUGGGAGCAGGGGGUCGCAGGUUCAAAUCCUGUCUUCCCGACCA